GAAGGCUGUCUCAAAUCCUAGUGAGCUCCCUAUCUAGACAACAUAUUUGGACGUCGUUCUUCUGGGCAUCUUAUACGUUUCGAGUGGCUUUCAGCGUCUCAGACCCAUACAUGCUGUCUACCUAUGCAACUCCCUAGGAUUUGAGCGGCAGCCGUCGUUUCAGCAGUUCAACAUCAUCGCACUGACGUGAUCUGCUAAGGCAGUGCAUGCUGAACUUUCUGCUGCCCAAGAGAACAAAACGGAUAUUGAUAAGUCAACCAUCAGUUUCACUUCGUGUAACUCACAAGGACUCAACAGCAGACGGAUUUCUUUCCUUUUUGGUAAAUGAAGUCCCACCAAGUGUGGAACGGAGAAGCGACGUCGGCCUUGCUGUAAAAGAAACGCUUCAAACUUUUGAGAAUAAAUCUAAUUCUCAGUGGCUUCAAGUGUCGGACUUUGAUUUCCCCAGCAGCGUGUUUGGAGUCGUGCUGGUUUGGCAGAAAUGGGGACGCGGAUACGUUCCCAUAAACUCACUCUUUUUAUCAUCCCUUUGAUAUUUACAUCGCAUUUGUUUAAUGUGGUUCAGAGCUCUAAAGUGUGGGAUGAGGUGCCUUUCCCAGAUGGUUUAGAGGAAGAAAACAUGCGGCCGGGAGGUUAUGUGGAUGAUGAAGAGUACUAUGAUCCUUCAGGAGAUGUUAGUGGAGAAGAGGAUGGAAGCACCCCUGAGCCGAGCACAGUUGAUCCAGACACACCUAUAACAAUUUACUAUCGGGCACUGGUGAACUUCACAAACUCAUUCCAAUAUGGGCCUGAACUUGAUGACAUCUCCUCUCCUGCUUUCAUGGAGAUAUCAUCUGCUGUCGUCGAUACGCUUGAGUCUGACUACAACAGGAUACCAGGACAGCAGACCGUCAAUGUGGUUCUCAUUAAGAAAAUUGGCAAAGAUGUGUUUGUGGAGCUGGACGUCGGCUCGGAUAAUAACUUUAAUGAAACACAGAUCAGAGAUGUCCUGUUCUCCGUGGUUAAAGAGGGCACCAUUGCAUCUUACGAUACCUCAGUAAAAGGCUUCCAGUUCAGACGGCUUGGAGAAGCUGACACUCCUCCUCCUGUGGAGCCCAUCACUGUGCCAGUGAUUCCCAGUGCCAGAGAAUGUUUGUCAGAUGAGUUCAGAUGUCAGGAUGGGCUUGCGUGUAUCCCUGUGGUGUAUGUGUGUGACAAACGGCCUGACUGCAGUGACUUCAGUGAUGAAACGAACUGUGUUGUUCCUGUACGUCCUACUCCACCUACGCCUCCUAAAACCAGACCCCCACCUGGCCCAGGACCCUGCCGUGCAGACCAGGCCACCUGUCAAAACGGACAGUGCAUCUCACGGGACUACGUGUGUGAUGGGGAAACAGACUGCGCUGACGGCAGCGACGAGUUCAAUUGUGGAACUCCGACUCCCUGUGAACCCAAUGAGUUUAAGUGUCAGAACGGCCGCUGUGCUCUGAAACUGUGGCGUUGUGAUGGGGAUAAUGACUGUCAGGACAACUCAGAUGAGAUGAACUGCCCCACUAAAGGUCCAGGGGACACAUGUGCCCCAGAGCAGUUUGUGUGUUUGUCUGACCGCACAUGCAUUCCUGCCAGCUACCAGUGUGACGAAGAGCCGGACUGUCCUGACCGCUCUGAUGAAUAUGGCUGUGCACCUCCCGUUGUGACCGUCCCACCAGAAGAGUCCAUCGUAGUAUCGCGGGGGGAAACUGCAACCUUUACUUGUUCUGCCACUGGUGUGCCUGUUCCCAUCAUCACAUGGCGUCUUAAUUGGGGACACAUACCAACCAGUAGCAGAAUCACAACGAGCAGUGAGAAUGGGCGAGGGACGCUCACCAUCCGUGACGUGAAGGAAGGUGACCAGGGCGCGUACAGCUGUGAGGCCAUCAACGCUAAAGGCCUAGUGUUUGCCAUUCCUGAUGGGGUCCUCAGCCUGUCUGAGAGACCAAAACCAGAUACUGCACCAGCUCCAUAUGUUGUGUCAUCCUCUCUGUACGUGUUAGCAGGUAAAUGCCAUGAUGGGCACUUUAGCGUGGGCCAUCACUGCAUGCCAUGCUUCUGUUUUGGCAUCACAAAGAACUGUCAGAGCACCGGUCGCUACCGCAGCCAAAUCACACUGCGCUUCACAGAGGAGGAUGACUUCAAAGGAGUCAAUGUGUCACUUCCUAAUCAUCUAAGCACUCCACCCCAUCUCUUCAACACUCAGAUGUUGAUCAAUCCAGAGAGUGAGGAGUUCCAGCUAGUGGAUCUUUCUCGCCAUUUCCUCGAACAAGAAUCUUAUUGGAGUCUGCCUCGCCAGUUCCUGGGCAACAAGGUCGACUCGUAUGGAGGUCAUCUGAAGUUUAAGGUGAGAUACUCACUGCAGCAAUAUGGACCUCAUCCAAAGGAGAAACCUGAUGUUGUGCUGAGCAGCAACGGGCAGAAACUUAUUUACCGUAGAGGCGACCCCACUUCACCUGACACAAUCAACCAUAGAGAGAUCAAGUUUACAGAGGAAAACUGGCAGCACUCUUCAGGAAGAGCAGUAACUCGUGAUGACCUCAUGAUGACCUUGGCCAGCUUGGAGCGCAUCCACAUUCGCACCAUUUAUGAUAACCACAUGUCCAGUGUCAGUCUGAGUGACAUCAGCAUGGAUACCACCACCAAAGAGUUCACCCCGCAGGGGACCCCGGGACACGUGGAGGAGUGCAGAUGUCCUGCUGGGUAUUCAGGCCUGUCUUGUGAGUCCUGCUCCCCUGGUUUCGAGCGGAUACCUGGACCCCACCUGGGCAUCUGUGCUGGCUGCAACUGCAAUGGUCAUGCCAGUGCCUGUGACCCCAUUAGUGGACACUGUCUGAGUUGUCAGCAUAACACAGAAGGACCUCUGUGUGACAAAUGCAAGCCAGGCUUCUUCGGUGACCCAAGUCGAGGACGAUAUGAUGACUGCAAACCCUGUCCUUGUCCAUACACAGAGACGUCUCGACGGUUUUCAGAUACUUGCUUCCUGGACCAUGACAAGCAGCCAACAUGUGACGCCUGCAGACCCGGUUACACAGGGCGACGUUGUGAGAGAUGUGCUCCAGGAUAUGUUGGCGACCCUAUUCAGCCCAACGGCAAAUGUGUCUUUUCUACUAGCCCAAAGUGUGAUAACAGAGGAACCAUCAAUCCCAUCAGCCAACCAUGCUACUGCAAGGCCAAUGUGGUUGGUGCUCUUUGUGAUGAGUGUAAGAAUGGCGCUUUUAAUUUGGCGGCUGAAAAUCCUGAAGGUUGCUUGCAGUGUUUCUGUAUGGGAGUUACAAAACAGUGUGCCAGUUCAACCUGGAGCAGAAACCAGGUUCGAGGUGGUGUCAAUGGCCAGCUCUUCACCCUUUCCAAUGCAGCAAACACUAGGACCAUCUCUGAGGGCAUCACCCAGAGAGCAAGUACAGAGGUUGUCUACCGAUCCUUCACCAGUAUCCCUAAUGACAUCUACUACUGGGUCCUGCCUCAGAAUUUUAGAGGGGACAAGGUCACAGCAUAUGGUGGAGAACUGCAGUACAGGAUGCAUUAUGAGACACAGGCUCGUUCACUAGUGAUUGAUAGACAACCUGAUGUGGUUCUCCAAGGCAACGGCAUCUCCCUGGAGCACUAUUCACAGACCAAACCACUUCCUAGAGUACCAGCCACCAUCACUGUGAAUUUUAGAGAGUCUGCAUGGAGACGGUCAGAUGGACAGCCAUGUACUAGAGAGCACCUGCUGAUGGCUUUGGCAGAUAUCAGCUUAUUUAUGAUCAGAGCGACUUAUGCAGACAAUAUGGCUGAGAGCCGUAUCUCCAAUAUACAAAUGGACAUUGCAGUGCCCCAGCCUACAGGAAACGAGAGGGCUCUGGAGGUGGAGGAGUGUUCCUGUCCUCAAGGAUACACAGGACCUUCUUGCCAGGACUGUGAUGUCGGCUACACCCGUACACCGGGACUUUAUCUUGGCACCUGUGAGAAGUGUGACUGCCACGGGCAUGCCAGUGACUGUGAUUUAGACACUGGAGGAUGCCUGAAUUGCCUACAUAACACUGUUGGGAGGCGUUGUGAAAACUGCCUCCCUGGUUUCUAUGGAAAUCCAAGGACUGGUGAUCCACAGGCAUGUAGACCCUGUCCUUGUCUAGGACACUCUAGUAGCCAGCCUUUAUCUUGUUACUUGGACUCAGAUGAAGAGCCCACGUGUGAAUGUCCUGUUGGUUAUACUGGAAGACGCUGUGAAAGAUGUGCCCCAGGAUAUACUGGCAAUCCCCAACUUGGACAAAGAUGCACUCCAGGCGACGAUAAUGGUGAUUGUUACCGCUGUGACCAAAGUGGUAGCGAGGGAUGUAGCGGCACUGGAAUCUGUCGCUGCAAGAUGAACGUUGAGGGUUCAACAUGUUCCACUUGCAAGCAAGGGACCUUUUACCUCAGUCCUGCUAACAAAGAUGGCUGUCUGUCCUGCUUCUGCAUGGGCGUCACCCAGCAGUGCUCCAGCUCCAGACACUAUAGAGAUGUGGUUUCCACCAUUUUUGUCCCUGGCAACUACCAAGGUUUUGCUCUUGUAAACCGCCAGCGCACCAACCGAGUUGAUCGCGGCUUCUCCGUAGAGCUGUCCACAGAUGGAACACAACUCUCCUACACUAACUUUGACUAUCUUGGACAGGAGCCACACUAUUGGCAGUUACCCAGCAUUUAUCGGGGAGACAAGUAUGUUUUGGUCUACAAUGGUUUCAGCUUGCUCCCAGAUGACGUGCUCUUCUGGCAGCUCCCGGAGCAGUUCAGAGGGGAUAAGGUUGGUGCGUAUGGUGGAAAGCUGAAAUACACUAUCUCCUUUGUGCCAGGACCCCGAGGUUCUCCAAUAGAAGAUGCCGAUGUUCAGAUUAUUGGUAAUGACAUCACGCUGGUGGCACGGCAACCAUGGAGAAGGGGGCGUGGAGCCAGAGAGUCACAGGACUUUGAGAUUGUUUUCAGAGAGGAACACUGGCAGCGUCCCGAUGGCAUGCCGGCAACCCGGGAACACCUGAUGAUGGUCCUCGCAGACCUCGAUGACAUCUUGAUCCGUGCCUCGUAUCACACAGAGAUGCGCUCCUCCAGUAUUUCAGGGGUCCUCAUGGAUACCGCUGUGCCGGAGUACACUGGCCUGGCCCAGGCUUUGGAGGUGGAGCAGUGCCAGUGUCCUCCCGGUUACCAUGGUCUGUCCUGCCAGGACUGCGCUCCUGGAUACACUCGCACAGGAGGAGGCUUGUACCUUGGCCACUGUGAGCCGUGUGAAUGCAAUGGCCACACAGACUCCUGUCACCCAGAGACUGGCAUCUGCACGAACUGCCAACACAACACCAAGGGUGAGCUCUGUGAACAGUGUGCCGACGGCUUCUUUGGAGAUCCAACUGCUGGAACCCCUGAAGACUGCCAAGCGUGUGCCUGCCCCGGCACUGACCCUGACAACCAGUUCUCUCGUACCUGUGAAAGUCUGGGUAACGGAGGCUACCGGUGCACUGCCUGUCAGCCCGGCUACACUGGCCAGUAUUGUGAACGCUGUGCGUAUGGUUAUGUUGGAAAUCCACAAGAGAGAAUCCCCUGCCGUAGUGCUGCUGCGACUCUGGAGGUGAAGGUGAUUCCAGAAAGGGUUCAGGUGGCGCAGGGAAUCCCGGUCACUCUCAGGUGCCAGGUGUCUGGAUAUCCACCAUACUAUUUCCACUGGUCUCGUGAGGAUGGACGCCCAAUCUCCAGCACAGCAGAGAGACGCAGACAAGGAGCGGAGUUGCAUUUCCCCAGUGUGCUGCACAGUGAUGCUGGCAUUUACGUCUGCACCUGCCAAGACCAGCGCAGCUCCAAUCGAAGCAAAGCAGAGAUUGUUGUUACAACCUUACCAUCCAAACCGAUUGAAGUCUUUAUUGCGGAGCCCAAAUCACAGCGUGUGAAUGUGGGAUUUACAGUGAGCUUCGUCUGCACAGCCAAAAGCAAACUGCCAGCGUACACAAUUGUUUGGACGCGCCAGGGCAUCGACAAGCUGUCUAACCGGGCCAUGGAUUUCAAUGGAAUCCUGACCAUUCAGAAUGUGCAGCCUGAGGAUGCAGGCAUCUAUAUUUGCACGGGCUCCAAUAUGAUUGGAAUGGAUGAGGGCACAGCCAAACUCAAUGUCCCAGCUACUGAAGGCGCCCAGCCGGUGGCCGCAGUGAAUCCCCCUGUGCUGACAGUCCAACAGGGCCAGCGGGCAGAGUUCCGCUGCACAGUGACCGGCAACCCCACCCCUGCUGUGGAAUGGAUAGGUGGUCCUGGAAAACGAAUUGGGUCAAACGCUGUCAUUCGUAAUGGGCUGCUGACCAUCCCAUCGGUGGAUCACGUGGAUGAGGGCGAGUACAUUUGCAAGGCUCUGACCACACAUGGCGAGCACACAGCCCGAGGAGUUCUUCAUGUUCAAAGUACAGGCCAAUCUCACGGUCUACCCCACGUACAAGUGAGCCCUCCACGGGUGGAAAUUCAUGAGGGUGAAACUUUACGGGUGUACUGCAGGGCCGUUGGCAGUCCAACCCCUGCCCUGACAUGGAAGAAGAGAGGUGGUUCACUGCCGCCACAGGCAAUUCCUUCUCACGGUUUCCAUCAAUUUAAAAGCAACAGUCUCGAUGUGUUACAGAGACGUAUUGAGGAGCUACAGGCCCGCGUGGAGCGCACUGACCUCAGCACUCUCUUCAUACCCAAUAUCAGGUCAUCUGAUGCAGGCACAUAUCUCUGUGUUGGAACCAACACUGUUGGUUCUUCAGAAGCACAUAUUGAUGUCUUUGUCAGCAGAGGAGAAAUCAUCCCCUCUGGAGUCACCAUCCAGCCCUCUAUUGCUUCAGUAAUGGAGGGAGAGACUCUAGAUCUCAAUUGCAUUGUCCCAGGAACCUCUGCAGCAUCGGUCAGAUGGAGCAGGGCAGGCGGCCUGCUGUCAUCCAAUCAUCAGGUUUUGGGAACUCAGUUGCGGAUCCUGCAGGCCUCUGCAGAUGACACUGGAGAAUAUAUCUGUCAGGUGGAGGGUGGCCCAUUCCCCCAUCAGGCUUCUGUAUCGGUGUCUGUGACGCCCCUAGGUCUCCAGAACCCCAUUAUCUCCAUUGAGCCUCACAGCGCAUCAGUGAAGCAGGGCGAGUCAGUGAUCUUCAGAUGCAGGGUUCACAGCGGAGCCCAGCCGGUGCAUUUGGAAUGGAAACCCACCAACAACCUGCCCCAGCCAGAUAAUGUAAAUAUUGGACCUGGCAAUUCAGUCAUGACUAUAACCAAUGCUCAAGCCAAAAACCAGGGCACCUAUCGCUGCGUGGCCAGCAACCUGUUUGGAAUGACUGACAGCAUUGCAUCACUCAUUGUGAGAGAAACUCCUAGGGCUGUAGUGACCCCUGCAGGACCGGUGCGAAUCAGGAUGGGCGAUCCCAUUAAUCUUGAAUGCCAGGCUGCUGGAGAGCCAAGACCCUCUGUCAGAUGGCACAGACUGGACAACAACCGCAAGACGAUACUGAGCAGCCCCGUGCCGGCCGAUUCCAGUGCUUUCAUGCAGAUCUUAGUUGCACGGCCUGAAGACAGUGGCACUUAUGUGUGCACUGCACAGAACAACCAAGGCACAACUGAAACUCGAGUGGAGGUGUUUGUUGAAGGAGGGCCUCAGGUGCCGACUGUUCCCCAUGCCAGCGUACGUGAGCCUAUGAUAGUUGUGGUAGAGGGAUCAACUGCAACACUUCAUUGUGAUGCCCAUGGAUUCCCAAAGCCCACCAUCACAUGGUCUAAAGAACGGUCUUCUUUGCCUUGGAGACACAAAGUUGUUGACAACAGUCUGAUCUUAACUAAUGUGGGCCGUCAGGACUCUGGUCAAUAUCUCUGCAACGCCACUAACCACAUGGGCACCAGUGAAGUCACCAUCGUGCUGGAAGUAGACACCCCACCCUAUGCCACUUCCUUGCCCGAUGACGUGUCCGUGCGAGUGGGUGAAGUAAUCCGACUGCAGUGCCUGGCCCAUGGCACUCCGCCCCUGCGAUAUGAGUGGACCAAGGUCAAUGGCAGCUUGCCUCCUACUUCUCAGCAGCAACGAGGAGACCUCCAGAUCAAUCUGGCCAAAGAGAGCGAUGCUGGGACAUACAAGUGUGUGGCCAGCAAUAAGGUUGGCAAGAGUGAAGCGCUGGCCAGAGUCUCUGUCCGAUCACCUCUGUCAGUGAAAGUGUCCCCACAGGUGGAGGUGAAGGCUGUGGGCAGCGCUGUGGAGUUCACCUGUGCUGCUAAAGGAGGGUCUCACAUUGAGAUUGAGUGGCUGAAGGAGGGAGGAUUUCUUCCACCAAAUCAUCACAUUAAAGACGGAGUGCUCAGGAUCGAGAACCUUGAGCAAAGCAAUGAGGGAAUCUAUACCUGCAGAGCCACAAGUCUGUUUGGACAGGCUCAGGACAGUGGCAAACUCACCAUUCAAGCUCUACCCAAAGUGAUGAUCAAUGUGCGCACAUCAGUACAGACGGUGAUGGUGGGCAGCUCAGUGGAGUUCGAGUGUCAUGCGAUCGGUGAUCCUGAGCCCACGGUGCGCUGGAGUAAAGUGGGAGGCUCUCUUCCUGACCAUGUGGAGAUAAGGGGGAACAUCCUGAGGAUAGUUCGUGUGGUCGAGUCAGAUUCAGGACAGUACCGCUGCACCGCCACUAAUAAUGUUGGCUCGGAGUAUAGCCAGGUGCUCCUCAAUGUCCAGUCCUUGCCUCAGAUUUCUGAACAUCCUGAGUCAGUGGAAGUAGCAGUUGACUCUGAUGCCGUCUUGUCUUGUAUUGCAUCUGGAUACCCAGUCCCAACCAUCACAUGGUCAAAGGUGGAGAAUGAGUUACCCCCUAAGUGCAGACACGAUGGACAUGUCCUGACAGUCCCUAGUGUCACACACUCAGAUGCAGGAAAGUAUGUGUGUACAGCUGCUAAUAAGCAGGGCAAAGUUGAGGCCUUCACUAAACUCUUGGUUCAUGAGAGAGUGAUGCCCUAUUUUACCCAGGAACCACUCUCGUACCUCACACUCUCCACUAUCAAAAACCCCUACAAAGCAUUCAGCAUCAGUAUAACCUUCAAGCCAGACAAUGCUGAUGGGCUCAUUUUGUAUGCCGGUAUGAUUCUUUAUAAUGGACAAAUGAAGACCACUGGCGCUGAUUUCAUGUCUUUUGGGUUGGUGGGUGGCCGUCCUGAAUUCAGGUUUGAUGUGGGCUCUGGUAUGGCAAAUAUACGUUACCCUUUUUCCAUUAAACUGGGGGAGUUUCACACUGUGAAGCUGUAUAGAAAUCAGACUCGAGGCUCUCUUUUUGUGGAUGGAGAAGAUCCUAUAAAUGGAACCUCACAGGGAAAAUUCAAUGGCCUGGACCUGAAUGAGGAGCUUUUUGUGGGCGGUUAUCCAAACUACAGCAUGCUUGCUAAAACUGCAGGCCUCAAGACAGGGUUUGUUGGCUGUAUCAAGCAGCUGAUUAUCCAAGGUGAUGAGGUUAUUUUCAAGGACCUUAAUAAAAAUUCCAUCGGAGUUUCAAAUUGUCCCACUUGCAAGGACUUCCCAUGUAAGAAUGGUGGAAUAUGUGAGAACUCUACAGCCAGUCUUUACAAAUGCAGUUGCCAGAUAGGAUACACCGGAAGCAACUGUGAGCAUCAGUCUUCCUCGCACUGUCACACAGAGGCCUGUGGACAAGAUGCCACCUGUAUUAACCAACCCAGUGGUUCGGGCUACGUCUGCCGCUGUCACUUGGGCAAAUCUGGAAACAAGUGCAUGGAUGGUACCCUGGUAAGAACGCCAUUGUUUGAUGGAGACAACUCUUAUAUUGCAUAUCCUCCUCUUACUAAUAUUCACGACGACCUCCGGAUUGAGAUGGAGUUCAAGCCCAUGGGUUCAGAUGGGCUGAUGUUCUUCGGCGGUGGCAAAAAGAUGAAAGUGGAGGACUUUGUGACGUUAUCCAUGGUGGACGGACACAUUGAGUUCCGAUAUGAACUUGGUACAGGUCAAGCAGUUCUACGCAGUCAGGAGCCCGUGUCUCUGGGUCAGUGGCAUCGCGUGGUGGCCGAACGGCUCAAAAAAGAAGGUUCCUUGAAGGUGGACCAUGCACAAGAGAUCACAAGGUCCUCUCCAGGCAAUGCCCAGGGCCUUAAUAUCCAUACACCCAUGUAUCUGGGAGGAGUGCCCAGCAUGGACAUCCUGCCCAAACCCGCAAAUGUUAGCAUGCUCUUUGAUGGAUGCAUAGGAGAGGUCUUCAUCAAUGGAAAGAAGCUGGAUCUAUCAUACAGCUUCAUAGAGAGCAGAGCCAUCAGCCAGUGUAAAGAUGGCAACCCAUGUGACCGCAGGCCUUGUCUGCACGGAGGCACCUGUAUUGCCACUGCAGAGUACGAGUACAAGUGCAACUGCGCUGGAGGAUACGACGGUGACCGUUGUGAAAUAGUGAGGGAGAGCUGUCGAGACUCCUCUCAGUGCAAGAACGGCGGCAGUUGUGUGGAUAACCACUGUGUGUGUCCCGCUGGCUACACAGGUCGGCACUGUGAGAAAGGGCAGGAGUCCAGCUUCACCGAGGCACCGUGGAAUUUGGAGGGUAAUUGGGGAAAUGACUCUCCUAUUGAAUAUUCUGCAUAUUUCCAUGACAAUGGAUAUCUGGCUCUUCCAAAGCCUAUGUUCCCACGAAGUGCUCCUGACUUUCCAGAGACCAUUGAGUUAGAGAUCAACACUGCCUCUGAAGACGGCCUCGUCCUGUGGCAGGGAGUGGAGCCUGCAGGCGCUCUUAGCCUCCGUAAGAAGCAUGCUAGUAUAAAGGAACUGGGAAGUCAAGGAAAGGGGAAGGACUUCAUAAGUAUUGGUUUACAGAAUGGACAUAUUGUGUUUAGUUACCAGCUGGGCAGUGGAGAGGCUCAGAUUCAAUCCAGUAAGCCUGUCAAUGAUGGACGGUGGCACAUAAUCACUGCAGUCCGAACGGGUAAGCAGGGCUACCUUCAGAUCGAUGGAGGAUCUGUCCAACAUGGGCAAUCUCAAGGCAAAAGCAUCAUGGUGAACACCAAGGGCAAUAUAUACCUGGGUGGAGCUCCAGACAUGAAAGCAUUGACCGGUGGAAAGUACUCAUCAGGUAUCACAGGCUGUUUGAAGAACCUCUCACUGAUGAACGCUCGUCCGGGAGAACAUCCAGCGCGACCUAUCGACCUGCAGGUCCACACAGAGGAGGGCAUCAACGUGGAGCGCUGCUUAACAUAGACGCAGUACUAAAAACACUAGCAGAGACUAUAGAAAAAUACACACACUGAGGAACAUGCAUCUCUCAGACGCUUACAGGACAAACUACAGUCACACUUACACAGAGAUAUAGACUAAUAUGUGUUUCUUGGUGCUUCACCGCAACCAGAAAAACACACAGGAAAGGAUUCUUUGCUCUGUGCUGCGUUAAACCAAAAAGAAAAAGAGAAAGACAAAUUAAUGAUAUUAACAAGUCUUCAGUAUUUCAGUGUUUUAUGCUCAAUCAAGGAACUACAGUAUUAACACAGAAGCUCUGUUUACGUACUCCGAACAGUAGCUUUUUACCCAUGAGAAAAAGAUGACAAAAAUGGUUUAAAAAAUAAACACGAUGAGCCUUCUAUGGUGGGUCAGAUCCUAUGGAAUCGGAGAUUUUUUACAGCACUGAAUUUUUAUUUAUAAGCUUAUUAAUCUAUAAAUAUUAUAUAUGUGGGGGAAAUACAAGCUAACAAUAACCUGCUCGUUUGUGUUGCUAGCAGUGAUUCUAGGCUCUAACAAAGCGUGUCUGAGGUUUAGUGCCCAAGCUGUGUUUAUACUUGAAGACUCUGCUGCCUUCUUUUACUCUGUUUGAGGGCCGGUGGGGGCGAGCAUGCUAAGGAAAGGGUCUCUGUGAGGUCACAGCACAGAAGACAUCCAGACACAUCUCAGGUGAAGAUUGUUGCAAGAAAAUACAAGUUGGGAGAACAUAUAUACAGUGUUGACUGCAUACAUUAGAAAUGACAUACCUUCCAUGCUUGGAAACAUUGUUGUGUCUGCUAAAUGUGUCUGGUAAUAUAAAAAAAAAUAUGGUGCUAAAUUCAGACAUGAUAAAGGCAACAAAACAAGCACAUAUUCAUAGUUUCAGUUUCUUAUAAUAUUCACCUCUCCGAAUGGGUCUUAUUUUUAGUAAGUAAUAAAAGCUGUAGCUUUACAGUAAAAUGAAAAACUGUUUACUAAUUACAAUAUUUUGUUUAUAUUUUUUUUUAUUAAAGAAUUAAAAUUAUUACAAUUCUCAUAGUAGAUGACAAAUGUUGCAUAAUAGACUACAGCAGUUUUAAAUGUUUAGAAAGUCUUUAUUUUUUCAGUCUUAUCCGUUUUCCACAGUUUUGCUGUUUACAACCACACUAACAUAUUAUUUUAUGAUAGAUUUGUAUGAAUGGUUAAGUGAGGUGUCUUUUUUUUCAUUACGUUCAUAGUCUUACACAGUGUAUAUUGAAAAAAAAGAGGAAAUGUACGUUAGCUUCAAGAGCCUCCAGAGGGUUAAUGGAGAAAUCAGUCUCAAUCUCAGUCAGAGUGUACAGGAAGUUGUUUUUUCUGGCUGCUCUAAUUGCAUAGAAAAAUGAAUGUGAGUACAGAGGAAAUUGAGUAGAAGGUCUACAGAGAAAAUACUGCCUAGUUAAACCCCUCUUUUAUCAGUGCUGUGACUUGGAGCUCUAAUGAACAUGCUCGCCCACAUGGGCCAGACAGGGGUCAAAGGUCACUUUGGCCUCUUGUAUCUUUUUCACCAUUUUAUGACUAAGGCUUGUCUGUUAAUAUUCUUUUUAAAAAGGAGCAUUACUACUUAAAUAAAGUUGCUUUACUUUUAUUAUUA